UUUUAUAGCGGGGAGGUGUUCCCUGCACAAGAUCUCUUUCUUUGCUUGCUGCCAUCCACGUAAGAUGACUUGCUCCUCCUUGCCUUCCGCAAUGAUUGUGAGGCCUCUCCAGCCAUGUGGAACUUACCUGUAGUACUUGAAUACGAUCAGCAUCCAGCUUUGUCAACAACUUAGAAGCAGAAUCCAGCAACAUCGGUGGAUCUGGAGGCCAUUAUCCUAAGUGAAACACCGCGGAAGCAGAGUCAAAUACCGAUCGUCCUCAUUUAUAAGUGGGAGCUAAACACAAAACAACAUCAUCACAACAGAUUGAAUACAGAAAGCUACUCGGGAGGCUGAGGCAGAAGAAUCACUUGAAUCUUGGAGGCGGAAGUUGCAGUGAGCCAACAUCGCGCCACUGCACUCCAUCGUGGGCGAUAAGAGCGAAACACCAUCUCAAAAGAAAAAAAAAAAGAAAAAGAAAUGUGAAACCAGCUUUUUUCUAUUGAGAUGUAAAAUAGUGGCAUUCUUCUCACUAAUUGUUUUGGAUGAUAUUGUUAUUUUCAAUAAAACAUAUCAACAUAAUGGGUUUAAUUUUGUCAUUAUUAUUAUAAUAAAUUGUUCAGUAAUGUUUUAAUUUUAGUUUCUAAUAUGGCAAAUAUAAUAAAUGUAAGCCAUACAAACAAAAUCUCUUUGCAGUUCUUAGUAAUUUUUAAGACUGUAAAAUUGGCAAUCAAAAAGUUUGGUAACUGCUACCCUAGGGAAAUUUUUGCACUUGCUCACUGG
rnacentral:lncRNA from 10 species